rfam:Dipodomys ordii contig_25790, whole genome shotgun sequence.
GGUGGCUCAGUGGUAGAGUGCUUGCCUUGCAUGCAUGAGGCCCUGGGUUCGAUUCCUCAGUACUA